UACGUAGGUGGCAAGCGUUGUCCGGAUUUACUGGGCGUAAAGAGCGCGCAGGCGGUCGUUCAAGUCGCGUGUGAAAGCCCCCGGCUCAACUGGGGAGGGUCACGCGAUACUGAUCGACUCGAAGGCAGGAGAGGGAAGUGGAAUUCCCGGUGUAGUGGUGAAAUGCGUAGAGAUCGGGAGGAACACCUGUGGCGAAGGCGGCCGUCUGGGCCGACACUGACACUGAGAGACGAAAGCUAGGGGAGCGAAUGGG
rnacentral:rRNA from 1 species